rnacentral:lncRNA from 10 species
GGAGGAUUGGAAACAGUUUGUUUUCUCUUCCCUCGUUCCUCUCAGUGGAUUCAGUGGAUAAAGAGCAGGCACACAUUACAAUAAACAUUUUUAUGGUCCCCAACAUUAGGCAUAUAAAUCCUACCUGUCUUCACACACUUACACACUAAAACUCCCACAGAAAGGGGGAAAAUUAGAAAAGGGGUGAUAUAAUUUGACUCUGUGUCACCACCCAAAUCUCAUCUUGAAUUGUAAUCCCCGUAAUUUCUCACCUGGCAAGAGUGGGACCAGGUGGAGACAAUUGGAUCAUGGGGGCAGUUUUCCCCAUGCUCUUCUCGUGAUAAUGAUUGAGUCUCAUGGGAUCUGAUGAUUCUAUAAGUGUCUGGCUUUUCUCCUACUUGCACUCACUCCAUCCUGCCACCCUGCGAGGAAGGUGCCUGCUUCUUCUUUGCCUUCCGCCGUGAGUGUGAGUCUCCUGAGGCCUCCCCAGCAAUGUGGAACUGGAUACGUCAUGGAACAGAGGGCAACCUGCCUCCUGGAAAUGUGGAGUGUCUAGGGAGUCACAGCUGAGAUCUUCCUUGGAUUAAAGGCUGCGGGUGUCACAAACAGAAUGAUACGGUUUGGCUGUGUCCCCACCUAAAUCUCACCUUGAGUUCCUAUGUGCUGUGAAAGGGACCUGAUGGGAGGUAACUGAAUCAUGGGGGCAGGUCUUUCCUGUGCUCAUGAUAGUGAGUAAGUCUCAAGAAAUCUGAUGGUUUUUACAAGGGGGAAUUUUCCUGCACAAGCUCUCUUUGCCUGCUGCCACCCAUGUAAGACGUGACUUGCUGCUCAUUGCCUUCUGCCGUGAUUGUGAAGCUUCCCCAGCAACGUGGAACAGUUGUCUCUUCACUCUGCUGAUUGUGUAUUUUGCUGUUCAGAAGCUUUUCAGUUUGAUACAGCCUCACUCGCUCAUUCAGGGCCCCCGAGUAGAAUGGGAGAGCUCCAGAUGCAACUGACUAACUGAAGAUGUCACAAAGGCUGAAUCUUCUAUGCUACACUUUGGAUCACUAGAAGGACCAGAGUGUAGUCAACGAUGUGUAAACAACUGAGAAAAACUUUUCUCUGGAAACAACUGUGAUUUUGAAAUUCAGUGGUUUCUUCUUUCUAGCUGAGAAACAUUGAGCAAGUCACUGCAAUAACAUGGAAUCCAGCUGCUUUAUCUGGUGAAUUAGGAUAAUUCAUAGUGUACAACUAGGAUUACAAUUAAUUUAUCAGUUAAUAUUGCUGCAAAGAAAAUCAUUCUAUAAGUUAAUGGCUUAAAACAACGAUUAUUUAAUACACUUUUUCUCUGUGGGUAAACCGUGUGGUUUCUCUAGUCUGGGUUAGUUAGUUUGGGCUUGGAUGACUUAGAAUGUUCUCAGUCACACAUCUCUGGCCUCUGCUGGGGUGUCUGGGAAAGCUGAACUCCUUGUUUUCAUGGGCUGUCACUCCGGGAGUUAGCUUAAGGUUAUACUUAUGAUAGAAAAGUUCCCAGAAGCAAAAGCGAGUCAGCCUUAAUGUGCAAGCACUUCUUAGCAACCUGCUUCCAUUAGGGUUGCUAAAAUCCCGUAGGCUGAAGUAAGUCAUAGGACCAAGCAGAAAUGAGGUGGGAAAAUAAACUCAUUUUCUUCACAGGAGCAGCCUCAAAAAGUUUGUGGUCACAAACUCUUCACUUUUUUUUUUUUUUUUUUUGCAGUUUCCAACAGGGUAGAUUUGAGUAUUAGUGAAAAUGAAUGCAAAGUGUUUGUCAUGUAGUAAGAACUAAAUACAUUUUAUAAUUGUUAAUGUGUUUUACCAGCCAUACUUUUUAUCAUCCUAUGAUUUAACAAACAUGCAUUAAGAAAAUGUGUGGGUAAGGCUGCUUCAAUUAUAAUCACUUGAGUCCUUUAAGGUUCUGCUUAUGUUAUACAGGAUAUAGAAAGUCAUCCCAACAUACUGACUGUCUCAAAUGUAUUUUGUUUUGGAUUUCCCAACUAUAUCACAGCCUGUUACGAACACUUAGUUACAUAAGUACAUUCCAUCUUAUGUCUUCAUUUACUUAUUUCAUGACUUAAGUUUUAUACCAACUCCUCCCUAGUUAGAUUUUAAUCCCGUUGAGUAAAAAGAGGGAUUAUAUUUAUCUGACAUAAUUAGGACUACCUAGUACAGCAUUGGAUCUGAAUUUUAGAUUCUAAACAAGAAUAUUAAUAUCAACUUCCCAACUCUAUUAUAUAUACCACUGCAUUCAAUAUAUACCAAUCUAGUACAGUUAACAUCGUAGGUAGCAUUGUGACAUGAGCCCUCAAAUAGGUAGACAAUCCUGGGAUUGAGUACUGGGUCUAUGAAUAGCUUUGUGACCAUGGACAAUAGUAAGCUUCUCUGAGCUUGUUUUCUGUUAUAGCAAGAAGAAAAAUAUAUUUUAUAAUGAUAAUGUUAAAACAAAAAUGUCUUGCUAAUAUGGAUUGGAUUUGUGUCCCUGCCCAAAUCUCAUGUUGAAUUGUGAUCCCCAGUUUUAGAGAGGUACCUGGUGGGAAGUGAUUGGAUCAUGGAGGAGGAUUUCCCCCUUGCUCUUCUCAUGACAGUGAGUGAGUUCUCAUGACAUCUAGUUGUUUAAAAGUACAUAGCACCUCCCCUUUUUCUCUCUUCCUCUAUCUCCAGUCAUGUAAGACAUGCCUGCUAUGCCCUCUCUCACCACUCCUAUUCAACAUAGUGUUGGAAGUU